UACGUAGGUGGCAAGCGUUGUCCGGAAUUAUUGGGCGUAAAGCGCGCGCAGGCGGUCCUUUAAGUCUGAUGUGAAAGCCCACGGCUCAACCGUGGAGGGUCAUUGGAAACUGGGGGACUCGAGUGCAGGAGAGAAGAGUGGAAUUCCACGUGUAGCGGUGAAAUGCGUAGAGAUCCGGAAGAACACCAAAGGCGAAGGCACCAUCCUGGGGAGUCACUGACGCUCGGGUGCGAAAGCUAGGGGAGCGAACGGG
rnacentral:rRNA from 1 species